rnacentral:rRNA from 1 species
CUCAGGAGAAGGAACUCGGCAAAUUGACACCGUAACUUCGGGAGAAGGUGUGCCCUUGUAGGGUGAAGUCCCUUGCGGAUGGAGCUCGAAAGGGUUGCAGUGAAAAGGUGGCUGCGACUGUUUAUUAAAAACACAGCACUCUGCAAACACGAAAGUGGACGUAUAGGGUGUGACGCCUGCCCGGUGCUGGAAGAUUAAAUGAUGGGGUGCAAGCUCUUGACUGAAGUCCCAGUAAACGGCGGCCGUAACUAUAACGGUCCUAAGGUAGCGAAAUUCCUUGUCGGGUAAGUUCCGACCCGCACGAAUGGCGUAACGAUGGCCACACUGUCUCCUCCUGAGACUCAGCGAAGUUGAAAUGUUUGUGAAGAUGCAAUCUCCCCGCUGCUAGACGGAAAGACCCCGUGAACCUUUACUGUAGCUUUGCAUUGGACUUUGAACAGACUUGUGUAGGAUAGGUGGGAGGCUUUGAAGUGGGAACGCCAGUUCUCAUGGAGCCGUCCUUGAAAUACCACCCUGGUGUGUUUGAGGUUCUAACCUGGGUCCGUCAUCCGGAUCGGGGACCGUGCAUGGUAGGCAGUUUGACUGGGGCGGUCUCCUCCCAAAGUGUAACGGAGGAGCUCGAAGGUCUCCUAGGUACGGUCGGACAUCGUACUGAUAGUGUAAUGGCAUAAGGAGGCUUAACUGCGAGACCGACAAGUCGAGCAGGUGCGAAAGCAGGACAUAGUGAUCCGGUGGUUCUGUAUGGAAGGGCCAUCGCUCAACGGAUAAAAGGUACUCCGGGGAUAACAGGCUGAUACCGCCCAAGAGUUCACAUCGACGGCGGUGUUUGGCACCUCGAUGUCGGCUCAUCACAUCCUGGGGCUGUAGCCGGUCCCAAGGGUAUGGCUGUUCGCCAUUUAAAGUGGUACGUGAGCUGGGUUUAAAACGUCGUGAGACAGUUUGGUCCCUAUCUGCAGUGGGCGUUGGAAGUUUGAGGGGGGCUGCUCCUAGUACGAGAGGACCGGAGUGGACGUGCCUCUGGUGUACCGGUUAUGACGCCAGUCGUAUCGCCGGGUAGCUAUGCACGGAAGAGAUAAGCGCUGAAAGCAUCUAAGCGCGAAACUUGCCUCAAGAUGAGACUUCCCUGGCAGCUUGACUGCCCUGAAGGGUCGUGGAAGACCACCACGUUGAUAGGUCGGGUGUGGAAGCGCAGUAAUGCGUUAAGCUAACCGAUACUAAUUGCCCGUGCGGCUUGAUCCU